rnacentral:lncRNA from 1 species
CGGGAUGCUUGAGGACAGAAUGUCACCUGAAUGAGCUACUCCCUACACUAACCAGAAGGUGACUGGACAAUUUACAUCUGUGUACUUACUGAAAGGAAGGCUGAAGAGUCCUUUAUGUUGUCCAGGAGUAGUUUAUGGAUACAACUUCAGUGUCCUACAGCUGGAUCAGCCCUUCCCCUCUUUCCCCUUCAAUCCCAUGAUGCAGGAGGACCACAUGUAGAGGCACAGCCUGUGGAGUCCCAGCAAACAGGAGAAUCCUGCACUGCCCAGCAACGUGAGUGGCACAGUCUUCAGCCUCCUCCCCUGGUUCCCAUCUUCUUUGGAAAAUAA